GCGGCCGCCAGGAACGUGAACCCCAAGUCUCCCAUCACUGAGCUCCUAGAGCAGAACGGAGGCUAUGGGAACGCUGUCCCUUCCCGAGGGCCACCCCCUCCUGGGGGCUCCAGCAGCGGCUACAGCGGAGGCCUGGCGCUGGCCGAGUACGACCAGCCCUACGGCGGGCUCCUGGACAUCCUGCGGGGGGGCACGGAGCGCCUCUUCACAAACCUCAAGGACACCUCCUCCAAGGUCAUCCAGUCUGUUGCCAAACGCUGGCGCUGGGAUCUGCGCCUCGUGUUGGGGGUGGCUGCUCCUGCUGGGGCCCCCAGGCUCCGUGUCUCCUCUGCUCUGUGACGACACCUGUCUCGUGUGUGUGGUUUCUCCUGGAUGGCGUGGAGUGAGUGGGGCAGGGGCGGGGCCCGGGGACACCUCCUGAGUACAGCCCCACUGAGUGACAGCACGGAGUUACUGGGGCGACAGGCUGCGGGUGAGGAGUCACCUUG
rnacentral:lncRNA from 12 species